CAGUCGAGCGGUAACAGAUCUAGCUUGCUAGAUGCUGACGAGCGGCGGACGGGUGAGUAAUGCAUAGGAAUCUGCCCGGUAGUGGGGGAUAACCUGGGGAAACCCAGGCUAAUACCGCAUACGUCCUACGGGAGAAAGGGGGCUCCGGCUCCCGCUAUUGGAUGAGCCUAUGUCGGAUUAGCUAGUUGGUGAGGUAAUGGCUCACCAAGGCAACGAUCCGUAGCUGGUCUGAGAGGAUGAUCAGCCACAUCGGGACUGAGACACGGCCCGAACUCCUACGGGAGGCAGCAGUGGGGAAUAUUGGACAAUGGGGGCAACCCUGAUCCAGCCAUGCCGCGUGUGUGAAGAAGGCCCUCGGGUUGUAAAGCACUUUCAGCGAGGAAGAACGCCUAGUGGUUAAUACCCAUUAGGAAAGACAUCACUCGCAGAAGAAGCACCGGCUAACUCCGUGCCAGCAGCCGCGGUAAUACGGAGGGUGCAAGCGUUAAUCGGAAUUACUGGGCGUAAAGCGCGCGUAGGUGGCUUGAUAAGCCGGUUGUGAAAGCCCCGGGCUCAACCUGGGAACGGCAUCCGGAACUGUCAGGCUAGAGUGCAGGAGAGGAAGGUAGAAUUCCCGGUGUAGCGGUGAAAUGCGUAGAGAUCGGGAGGAAUACCAGUGGCGAAGGCGGCCUUCUGGACUGACACUGACACUGAGGUGCG
rnacentral:rRNA from 1 species